AGGCAGCAGUAGGGAAUCUUCGGCAAUGGGGGCAACCCUGACCGAGCAACGCCGCGUGAGUGAAGAAGGUUUUCGGAUCGUAAUGCUCUGUUGUAAGAGAAGAACGUGUGUGAGAGUGGAAAGUUCACACAGUGACGGUAACUUACCAGAAAGGGACGGCUAACUAC
rnacentral:rRNA from 1 species